rnacentral:rRNA from 1 species
GAGUGCGGCAGAGGCAUGCGGAAUUCGUGGUGUAGCGGUGAAAUGCUUAGAUAUCACGAAGAACUCCGAUUGCGAAGGCAGCAUGCUGGGCCGUUACUGACGCUGAGGCUCGAAAGUGCGGGUAUCAAACAGGAUUAGAUACCCUGGUAGUCCGCACAGUAAACGAUGGACACUCGCUGUUGGCGAUAGACUGUCAGCGGCCGAGCGAAAGCGUUAAGUGUCCCACCUGGGGAGUACGCCGGCAACGGUGAAACUCAAAGGAAUUGACGGGGGCCCGCACAAGCGGAGGAACAUGUGGUUUAAUUCGAUGAUACGCGAGGAACCUUACCCGGGCUUGAACUGUGCCGGACGUAUCCGGAAACGGAUAUUCCCUUCGGGGCCGGCAUGGAGGUGCUGCAUGGUUGUCGUCAGCUCGUGCCGUGAGGUGUCGGCUCAAGUGCCAUAACGAGCGCAACCCUCAUUUCCAGUUGCCAUCGGGUUAUGCCGGGGACUCUGGAGAGACUGCCGUCGUAAGAUGCGAGGAAGGGGGGGAUGACGUCAAAUCAGCACGGCCCUUACGUCCGGGGCUACACACGUGUUACAAUGGGGGGUACAGCGGGACGCUACCCGGCGACGGGAUGCCAAUCCUGAAAGCCCCUCUCAGUUCGGACUGGAGUCUGCAACCCGACUCCACGAAGCUGGAUUCGCUAGUAAUCGCGCAUCAGCCACGGCGCGGUGAAUACGUCCCCGGGCCUUGUACACACCGCCCGUCAAGCCAUGAAAGCCGGGGGUGCCUGAAGUGCGUGACCGCGAGGAGCGCCCUAGGGUAAAACCGGUGAUUGGGGCUAAGUCGUAACAAGGUAACCA